UUGUAGAGCCUGCAGUUGCAGAAGAGAAAGUCAAACCAGUACCUUCAAAGAAAGAUACUGAAGCUACUAAGGAGAAAGUGAAACCAGCCCCAGUUAAGAAAGAGCCUGAGGUUUCCAAAGAAAAAGCCAAGCCAGAACCUUCAAAGAAAGGUAAAAUGAUUGCACUUGUUUUUAUAUUUCAACAUGCAUACCUUAAAAUGGUUAUUACAUACAGAAAAAUGAUUGGAUCUUGCACAGAGGCUGAAGCUGUUGAUGAGAAGGCUAAACCAGCACCAGUUAAAAAAGGUAAAGUGCUCAUGCUCUGUAUUUGAGAGGGUAAUAGUAAAAGAUCCUGAUAGUUUAAUUAAUUUCACAAGAUUGAUUUUCUGAAAUAUAAUCCUGUAAAUGCAGGAUAAUAAGGUGCAGGUUUGUUUGAUAAGAAAACUUUCUGAAUAUUUUACAUUACUUAAGCAUGUACAUUAGAUCUACAUAAAUAUUUUACCAAGCAGUUUGACUUGAUUUUUAGAACCUGAAAUUAUUAAAGAAAAGGAGAAACCUCCAAAGAAAGGUAAUAAUUUUCAAAUGUGAAAAGAUGCACAAGGUACUAAUCUUGUGUUCAUGUAAUUUGGAAAUAAAUGUUGAUGUUAAACUUUUUAUUCUUUUAGAAGCUGUAAAAGAAAAGCCCAAACCUGCUUAUGUAAAGAAAGAACCUGAAGUUCCAAAAGAAAAAGCAAAACCUGAACCUACCAAAAAAGGUUAA
rnacentral:lncRNA from 1 species